CACAAAGAGUGGAAGCAGGGAGAGUCCAGCAUGCUUCCAGUAAUGGACUGGAUGGUAUGGGCUGUUCUACAGUCAGAAUGCUCUGAGGAGGAUUCCGUCCCCAGACUGUGGGUAAGGAGUAAACAGAGAUCCAAAAUCACAGUUGGAUUACGGAUUCCUAACACAGUUUGGAAUUGGAUAACAAAAUCAACAGGUAAAGCUCAACUGAUAUAAUUCGAG
rnacentral:lncRNA from 1 species